UGCCUUAUAGCUCAAUGGUUAGAGGGUUUGUCCGGUUAUCAGAAGGUUACGUGGUUCAAUUCCCGUUAUGGCUC